GAUGAACGCUGGCGGCGUGCCUAAUACAUGCAAGUCGAGCGAACGGACGAGAAGCUUGCUUCUCUGAUGUUAGCGGCGGACGGGUGAGUAACACGUGGAUAACCUACCUAUAAGACUGGGAUAACUUCGGGAAACCGGAGCUAAUACCGGAUAAUAUUUUGAACCGCAUGGUUCAAAAGUGAAAGACGGUCUUGCUGUCACUUAUAGAUGGAUCCUCGCUGCAUUAGCUAGUUGGUAAGGUAACGGCUUACCAAGGCAACGAUGCAUAGCCGACCUGAGAGGGUGAUCGGCCACACUGGAACUGAGACACGGUCCAGACUCCUACGGGAGGCAGCAGUAGGGAAUCUUCCGCAAUGGGCGAAAGCCUGACGGAGCAACGCCGCGUGAGUGAUGAAGGUCUUCGGAUCGUAAAACACUGUUAUUAGGGAAGAACAGAUGUGUAAGUAAAUGUGCACAUCUUGACGGUACCUAAUCAGAAAGCCACGGCUAACUACGUG
rnacentral:rRNA from 1 species